AUACAGAGGGUGCGAGCGUUAAUCGGAAUUACUGGGCGUAAAGCGCGCGUAGGCGGUCUAUUAAGUCAGAUGUGAAAUCCCAGGGCUCAACCUUGGAACUGCAUCUGAUACUGGUAGACUAGAGUUUUGGAGAGGGAAGUAGAAUUUCAGGUGUAGCGGUGAAAUGCAUAGAGAUCUGAACGAAUACCAGUGGCGAAGGCGACUUCCUGGCCAAAAACUGACGCUGAGGUGCGAAAGCGUGGGUAGCAAACGGGAUUAGAAACCCUAGUAGUCC
rnacentral:rRNA from 1 species